rfam:Ictidomys tridecemlineatus contig072742, whole genome shotgun sequence.
GAGGUUGUGGCUCAGCAGUAGAGCGCGCGCCUAGCACGUGCGAGGCCCUGGGUUCGUUCCUCAGCACCACA